AUGUCGCUGUGCAGCCUCUUAUCGCCGAGGUCUGGCUUCCGCUGCUGCUGCGCGGCCCCUCCCCCGCCCGCCCAGCCCCACCAGGAAGCCCAGGGCGGACUCGUCGAGCUCCUGAAUGCACGCGGCGGCGAGGAAAACGCUCUUCAACUUUCCGCCGGCGCCCUCCCGCGCUUCCCCGGGCCCCAGGGUCGCCUCUCAACCGGAGAGAGUCCGCAAGGACGGGUCAUGGGCGCUCGCCCCGCGGCGCCGAGAACAGGAGGAAGCGGGAGCCCGCGUGGGCGCCGUGGAUCCCCUCGGCCUCCCGUUGGUAUCUUCCAUCUUUUGCGUUCAACAUUGUAACCUCGCGGCGGGCGUGCAGACUGGACGCCCUCCGGCUACUUCUGCUCCUACCGACUAGCCGGGCACAUCAGUGGGUCCGUUUUGAAAGAGGCCCAUGCACCGGGCUUUGCAAGGAAGCCGGGAAGGUUAGACUGAAGGUUAGGAACCUAUUAGACUAGAAUCCUUGGAUCUGUUGGGACUGCCGCCUUAAAAUGCACCAAACAGUUUCUGAAACUGGCGGGUGAACAGGCGGGAAAAACAUCUGCAAGACUGCCACUGUGUAUUUUCUUCAAGUAACAGGCUGUCCACAGUUUUGGAAUUCCUUAGUGAAACUGUCACACAAGCACAAACACUCACAUGCCAGCUUUCCUUCUAGUUUGUAAAUAAUAUUUGGACUUUACAAUGUAUUCUCAACUUUGCACUGUGAUUCAUAGAAAGCAAAGCUCCCUCUUUGAAAAUAAUAAAUAUAUUUAUAUUUUAUAUAAUAUAUUUAUAUUUAUAACAUAUUAAAUACUAGUAUGUUUCAUGGCAAGUGAGCCAUAUUGUCGCCAAAGCAAAUAAACCACAGCCCCAUAUCACAAUUCACUGGGUGUUAUAAGGUGUAACUUGGCUUCACUUUGAAUGGAAAGAAUCCUGAACGUCUGUGGUGUGAUAAAGUUUCGGAGAUUGGGGGCAGGAUUUCCUUUGUAAGAAAUUCCGAUAACUUGUUCAAGGAUGAUUUUGAUGAAAAACGUUGGUCCCACGUUUGGGACACAAUUUGGGACAAAAAUGUUGGAUAUGGUAUAACGUUCUUCCUGCAGGUUAGGUUGUGUUGAAGAGAGUGAGGCCAGCUCGAGGUGAAGGAAAAACAUCAGAAAGGUGCUAAAGUGCAGAAAUACCUUCCAGAGGCACUAAUAGCUGACUUGAGUUCUUGACCUUUAGCUAGAUCUACAAAGCACUGAGUUAAAAUUGUACAGUGAUUACUUCCAGAACAAAUUAAUUAAAUGGUGCCUCUUCCCAGCGUUAAUUGUUUAAAAGAACUCAAGUAUCCACACAGUGUAAGCAAACUAAAAGGACACUGACACUUUUUCAGAGAACAGGGAUGGGAACUUUCUAUCUGCCCAUUUAGUAACUACCCCAAGCUAUGAAGACUUUCAUUCCUCUUAUUAAGCAUACAGCAAUUACAUUUAGUGCCUACCAUGCCAGUGAUGCAAGAAUGGGUAAGACAGUCUCUAUACUCAAGGAUAACACCUCUACUAGGUGAGAGACAAACCAAUUAAUUUUGCCUAAGGGAUAAGUACUAUGAUGUCAGAGGCAAUCCCAUGAGGGCUCCAAGGAUGGCGGACAAAGAAUUCCCGGAGGAUUUACGUUUAACUGAUGCUUUGAAAGGUAUGUACAAGUUAGCAAGAUCAAAAGAUCAAAAGGGAGUAGAGUCCAGGUGGAGAAGAGAAAAGACCAGGGCAGACUGGGUGGCGUGGCUCACACAUGUAAUCCCAGCACUUUAGGAGGCUGAGGAGGGAGGAUCACUUGAGGUCAGGAGUUUAUGAGACCAGCCUGAGGAUGGAGGAUCACUUGAGGUCACCAGUUUAUGAGACAGGGUGACAUUGAAAGGCCCUGUCUCAAAAGAAACGAAAAGAGCAGGGCAAAUACAAGGCAUAUACAGCCUUCUCAGCCUUUCUGUGAGAAGUGAGGGGAGGGUAGUAGAGGAGAGUGGCAGGAGAUGACGCUAAAAGUAGGUCUGUGUUAAUCUGAGUUUCAACUUUACUGUCAAAGCUAAUGAACUGGAAAAAUUUAGGCAGCAAGGGCCAGAGAUGGAGUCUGGACUUGUAUUGCAGAAAGUUCCUGUGGUGGCAGCUUGGAGGGUGAAUGAGAGUGUGGGCUGGAGGGGUGAAUGGGUGUGGACAGACUGGAAAAAUGACUCACACAGGGAAUGAGGAAGGGAGGAGCCUUGGGAGACUCCCAAAUCCCUGGCUUAGCCUACUGAAUUCCUUGCUACUUGCCUUUUAAUUUCUUCAUUUUGCCUCCCAUUCUCUAUGAUAUUAAAGGCCUAACUUCUUAGCAGAGCAACCUUUGCACCUGCUAGCAGGUUGGUGCCCUAGAUGGCUUACAUGCCCCUCUGCUCAGAAUGCCUGCAAACCACUAAGGACUAAUCCUGGUGGUAGAAAUUUGUUUUCAACACAAACCCGUGUAGAAUUCCAAGUUAGAAAUGUGUUCUUUUUUCAUGUGGGUUAGAAAAUUUGCUGUUUAGGGCAACAUGGUGAAACACAGGACUUUCGAACCUGUUUAGGGUGCAAGAACGAAAACUAUGUUUCUACUUCAACACUGGAGGAGGGGGGAACUUCUGGGAGCAAAAGAGAAAUUGAAACUGAGACAUGUUUUUUGCUCCAUGACAGAAUACAAAGAAAUACAAGGAUGAUCCUUUAAUAUUAGAAACAGUAGAAUAACCAUCCUUGUAAAUGACAAAGAAGAGGAAAAAAGAUGUUAGUUUGCUUUAGAUACAGAGAAAAAGGAUGGUUAAGAAAACUCAUAAAACAACAGUCAAUCUAUAAUUCCAAAUGAGUCCAAAUAAAUUGUGAUAUAAAACUA